rnacentral:rRNA from 1 species
GGUUAAGCGACUAAGCGUACACGGUGGAUGCCCUGGCAGUCAGAGGCGAUGAAGGACGUGCUAAUCUGCGAUAAGCGUCGGUAAGGUGAUAUGAACCGUUAUAACCGGCGAUUUCCGAAUGGGGAAACCCAGUGUGUUUCGACACACUAUCAUUAACUGAAUCCAUAGGUUAAUGAGGCGAACCGGGGGAACUGAAACAUCUAAGUACCCCGAGGAAAAGAAAUCAACCGAGAUUCCCCCAGUAGCGGCGAGCGAACGGGGAGGAGCCCAGAGCCUGAAUCAGUGUGUGUGUUAGUGGAAGCGUCUGGAAAGGCGCGCGAUACAGGGUGACAGCCCCGUACACAAAAAUGCACAUGCUGUGAGCUCGAUGAGUAGGGCGGGACACGUGGUAUCCUGUCUGAAUAUGGGGGGACCAUCCUCCAAGGCUAAAUACUCCUGACUGACCGAUAGUGAACCAGUACCGUGAGGGAAAGGCGAAAAGAACCCCGGCGAGGGGAGUGAAAAAGAACCUGAAACCGUGUACGUACAAGCAGUGGGAGCACAGAGCAAUCUGUGUGACUGCGUACCUUUUGUAUAAUGGGUCAGCGACUUAUAUUCUGUAGCAAGGUUAACCGAAUAGGGGAGCCGAAGGGAAACCGAGUCUUAACUGGGCGUUAAGUUGCAGGGUAUAGACCCGAAACCCGGUGAUCUAGCCAUGGGCAGGUUGAAGGUUGGGUAACACUAACUGGAGGACCGAACCGACUAAUGUUGAAAAAUUAGCGGAUGACUUGUGGCUGGGGGUGAAAGGCCAAUCAAACCGGGAGAUAGCUGGUUCUCCCCGAAAGCUAUUUAGGUAGCGCCUCGUGAAUUCAUCUCCGGGGGUAGAGCACUGUUUCGGCAAGGGGGUCAUCCCGACUUACCAACCCGAUGCAAACUGCGAAUACCGGAGAAUGUUAUCACGGGAGACACACGGCGGGUGCUAACGUCCGUCGUGAAGAGGGAAACAACCCAGACCGCCAGCUAAGGUCCCAAAGUCAUGGUUAAGUGGGAAACGAUGUGGGAAGGCCCAGACAGCCAGGAUGUUGGCUUAGAAGCAGCCAUCAUUUAAAGAAAGCGUAAUAGCUCACUGGUCGAGUCGGCCUGCGCGGAAGAUGUAACGGGGCUAAACCAUGCACCGAAGCUGCGGCAGCGACGCUUAUGCGUUGUUGGGUAGGGGAGCGUUCUGUAAGCCUGUGAAGGUGUACUGUGAGGUAUGCUGGAGGUAUCAGAAGUGCGAAUGCUGACAUAAGUAACGAUAAAGCGGGUGAAAAGCCCGCUCGCCGGAAGACCAAGGGUUCCUGUCCAACGUUAAUCGGGGCAGGGUGAGUCGACCCCUAAGGCGAGGCCGAAAGGCGUAGUCGAUGGGAAACAGGUUAAUAUUCCUGUACUUGGUGUUACUGCGAAGGGGGGACGGAGAAGGCUAUGUUGGCCGGGCGACGGUUGUCCCGGUUUAAGCGUGUAGGCUGGUUUUCCAGGCAAAUCCGGAAAAUCAAGGCUGAGGCGUGAUGACGAGGCACUACGGUGCUGAAGCAACAAAUGCCCUGCUUCCAGGAAAAGCCUCUAAGCAUCAGGUAACAUCAAAUCGUACCCCAAACCGACACAGGUGGUCAGGUAGAGAAUACCAAGGCGCUUGAGAGAACUCGGGUGAAGGAACUAGGCAAAAUGGUGCCGUAACUUCGGGAGAAGG